AUUGAACGCUGGCGGCAUGCUUUACACAUGCAAGUCGAACGGCAGCGCGGACUUCGGUCUGGCGGCGAGUGGCGAACGGGUGAGUAAUAUAUCGGAACGUACCCAGGGGUGGGGAUAACGUAGCGAAAGUUACGCUAAUACCGCAUACGCUCUACGGAGGAAAGCAGGGGAUCGCAAGACCUUGCGCGCUUGGAGCGGCCGAUAUCUGAUUAGGUAGUUGGUGGGGUAAAGGCUCACCAAGCCGACGAUCUGUAGCUGGUCUGAGAGGACGACCAGCCACACUGGAACUGAGACACGGUCCAGACUCCUACGGGAGGCAGCAGUGGGGAAUUUUGGACAAUGGGCGAAAGCCUGAUCCAGCCAUUCCGCGUGCAGGAUGAAGGCCUUCGGGUUGUAAACUGCUUUUGUACGGAACGAAACGGCGAGCUCUAAUACAGUUUGCUAAUGACGGUACCGUAAGAAUAAGCACCGGCUAACUACGUGCCAGCAGCCGCCGUAACAC
rnacentral:rRNA from 1 species